GCGCGUACGAGAGUGCUAGCGUUGGGGGGCUUCACCCCUCGGUGCCGGCGUUAACGCAUUAACCACUCCGCCUGGGGAGUACGGCCGCAAGGCUUAAACUCAAAGGAAUUGACGGGGACCCGCACAAGCGGUGGAGCAUGUGGUUUAAUUCGAAGCAACGCGAAGAACCUUACCAGCUCUUGACAUCUUCUGACAGCUCUAGAGAUAGAGUGUUCCCUUCGGGGACAGAAUGACAGGUGGUGCAUGGUUGUCGUCAGCUCGUGUCGUGAGAUGUUGGGUUAAGUCCCGUAACGAGCGCAACCCUUGUUGUCAGUUGCCAGCAUUUAGUUGGGCACUCUGGCGAGACUGCCGGUGACAAACCGGAGGAAGGUGGGGAUGACGUCAAAUCAGCAUGCCCCUUAUGAGCUGGGCUACACACGUGCUACAAUGGACGGUACAGCGAGUCGCUAAACCGCGAGGUCAAGCAAAUCUCCUAAAGCCAUUCUCAGUCCGGAUUGCAGGCUGCAACUCGCCUGCAUGAAGCCGGAAUCGCUAGUAAUCGUGGAUCAGAACGCCACGGUGAAUACGUUCCCGGGUCUUGUACACACCGCCCGUCACACCACGAGAGUUCGUAACACCCGAAGUCGGUCGAGCAACUUUAUAGAGCCAGCCGCCGAAGGUGGGAUGGAUGAUUGGGGUGAA
rnacentral:rRNA from 1 species